CUAUGGUUGAGGGACGGUCAAUGGUAGAACAUCUGCUUUGUAUGCAGAACGUCCUAGGUUCGAGCCCCAGUUGAAAGG
rnacentral:tRNA from 1 species